CGGGGAUUAGCCCAGCGUCAAAGCCUAUGGUCGUUUGACUGUAAGGCGAUGUGAUGUUGUGGGCUGUGCCUAGGGUCGUUGGUCAACUCGAAGUCCAAUAUUGAAUGUGGCUUUUGUAUUUAGCCCAGAGCGGGUGACAGGCCCGUGCGAGUUGAUUGUUAGUCUUGUUGAACGGCCUCUAGAUGCACAGUCCAUGGAGUCGGAUUGCUUGAGAAUGCAGUCCAAAGUUGGUGGUAAACUCCAUCAAAGGCUAAAUACUGGCACGAGUCCGAUAGCAAACAAGUACCGUGAGGGAAAGUUGAAAAGUACUCUGAAGAGAGAGUAAAUAGUACGUGAAACCACACGAAGGUAAACUGGUGGAGUCCAGCUGCGUGUGCUGGGGACUUAGCCAGUAGGCGAAUAAGGGGUGUUGUGAAUUGCCGUGUUGUCGUUUGCCUGUGAAGGCAAGCCGGGCUGAGCCCGGCGCAUGUGCCGUCGUGUAGGCGGAAUGUGCGAUGCAUGUGCGUGUGUUCGCCUAUUGGUGUCCUUCCUCAGGACAAACAUCACAGUCAAUAUUGCUGCUAGUAUGUGGCUCGUCAAACCGCCAAGUGGUGGGCCUUCGUGUUCGUCCUUGUCGGGAUGGCAGGUGGUGUGCGGUGUGGCCUUGUGCUGUACCUGUACGCUUAAAGAUGGCUUCGGCCAGCCGACGGUCACGUUGUUGCUUUUAACUAUGCAGUGUAUUGGUCAUUGUUUGUGAGUGUGGGACGCGAUGCUGUGUAUGCGCGGUGUCCAGGUGGGCGCGUGUUUGGUUAUGUGUAAAAGCGUGCCGGAUGCGUGUUCCGUCUGCGUG
rnacentral:rRNA from 1 species